CCUCAUUUAAGGGUUGGCAGUGGAGGUGAGGGUUUUUCAUUGGAGAUCCCUGCCUACCUGAGGCCUUCUGGGCGUAAGUCUUAGGGCUUUUUAAUCAUCUCCUGAUUGUCCUGAAAGUAAUGACAGGGAAUGGAAGGAAGAGUUUCCAAAAUGAUCUGCUGGGCUGAUGUAGCACCAUCUUGAUGGGAGCCGCGAUGCAGCUGAACAAACUUUCACCUCAAACAGCCUAAUGUAUUGACUUCAUACGGGAGAACAGGGCUAUAAAAAUUGCAACCCUGUGUUGCUUCAACAGUGCUCAAGCAGUGAAGAUGGAUAUCAGCCUAAGCAAUAUAAAGGACUCCAAAUCUGCUUAGUGGCAUCUGAUGGCAUAUUUAGUGUUAGUACUCAGAUGGGCUUCACUACAAUGUUUUUUGAACACAUCUGCUAGUCUGUGAGCUUUCUUUAUUAAUGAAUCACAAAGAGGCACUGGGAAUGAAUGUAUAGUUACAAGUGAUUGGUCUGCAAAUAUAUAUUUUUUUUCUCCUUGGCUUUUAAAUUACCUGCUUAGUAUUUUAGGGAUUGCAACUUAGUGGGAGUGAUAUGCCUAAAGGCUGUCUGAGCGUCUGGAAUUCUCCUUCAUAAAGCAAUUCUCUGGUCAAGCUUUCAGGUGCAUUUUAUAUGGGAGAGUUCUGUUGAUGCCUAUUCAGAGGCUGUCAUGUGCUUUAUGACUAUAUAUUGGUGCCUGAUAUGAAGACAGAGUCCAAAGAAUUUGCAAAACAUGGCACCUUGCUGUGUCUUUAAAGAGCUCGUGAAUCUUCAUCAUUGAUAUUCUAACCUGUCUUGUAUCUUUUAAAUAAAUUUUUCUAAACAGUUCUUAGGCAAGGUUUGAGUUAGGACUGUGGGUUUUACUGAAUUUCCAUUUUCACUGUUGUACUUCUCUACUUUUGAGGAUAUCAUUGUGUUGUGCAUAGCUGGUUGUAUUCCCAAGACUCAAGGAAACUAUUUCCUGGCUGUCAGGAUGAACAAAUGGCUCCUGUAAUACCUUCGAUCAUUUUCUUAUUUACAGACAAUUUUAUUUGUUUUACACUACCUGAAUUGCCUUUGUAGGUCUUCCAAAUGACACCAGCAUUCAAACACAUCUCUAGUAUUCGUCUGUUCUGUUUAGGUCCCUGUUGCUUGCUCCUUAUGUUCUUUUCUAUGAAAUUUGUAUGAGCCUAUAUAGGCGUGACUUCACAAACAGAAAAAUAAU